AAGAUCAAGUCAGAUUAUGUGGUAACUCAAAAGGGUUACAAGUGCCACUUAACUUUGUGAAGCCAUGUACUAUGUCGGCAGAUGGUUAUCACAGAACUUCAAUCCCAGCCCUUUUGGAUGAACUGUUGCUUAAUGAAAACCAUGUGGUCUGAUCUUUGUGAAGAUCUAUCUAUCCAUCCAUGAUGAAUGUCUGCAUGAUGUAGAAUAACUCAGAUGUCAAACUUCGUGGUGGGUAUCAUGACUCAAUGAUUGAUGCAGAGGAAGAAUGGGACAUCACCUCUUUGUCACAGGGUCUGUUGCUAAGGUUGUCAUGGUUAUCAGGAAGAGCCGAGGGUUUACAGCAUUCAAAUGCGACAUUUGAGUUCUCUGUACUGACUGAGCACACAGGAUACAGCACCUUAGAGCUUUUACCAUAUUAACAGUUUAUGUUCCCUUCUGUCUUCCCCUCACUGGACAAAGAAGCUAGGGGAAAGAACAUCUUAAAUGCCAUAGGUCUGGAACCUGAUCCACAUAUUGGUUGGUUGGUUCUUUUAUUUUUAACCUCCAUCACUAAAUAGCUCGAGUCCCCGAUGCUCUGUACAAUAAUUAGGGAUAUCUUCCAUUCCUUGGUUAGCUCACCUCUCAUGUCCCAUCUCAUGGUCCCUCAAAGUGAAUUGGUCCACAUAAUUGAAAGGUUCUAUGGCCUAAGGAUUAGCCCACUGCUUCAUUAGUCCUUCUGUUAUCAUUCAAAAGGAUACUGCAUAACCUGAUCGAGAUUUGUAGAUUGGUGUUAUUGUUUUCUCCUUCAUUUUUGGUGUGAGACGAAUAUGGUGGCAAGACUCUCCUUUAGCUCUUUGUGGUUGCUUUUUGAGAUGUACCAUGACAUCUGACACAGUGUAGCUUGUGAGUUCUACAUGGCACCCCAGUUACCUCAUCUCAACUGAGGUAAGAAGGCUGUUGUUACGUCAGUGACUAGUAAUCCGCUGUUAUUCCGCAUUAUCCACUGUCAACUUCAUCUUGUGCAAUGUAUUAGCUGGGGAUGAUUGAUCAUGAAACAUUCUCUUAAUCUCUGUUGUCUUUCAUCAGCCACGUUUUGGUGCCGUAGCAUGUUCUUAUAUUCUAUAUGAAAAAGAUGCACCAUCAUUAAUUAUUUGGUUGUUGUCUUAGCAGUGGAACUUGGUGGAUAGGCAAAGGCAGGCAGGACAUCGGUCAAGGUGGACCAACAAAGUAUGGCUUUCCCCUGGAGUCCUGAUGUUUGGUGGUCCUCUUGGAAAAUUGGAGGUGCAACUAUAUCAUGCCUCAAUAUUCCUUGGUAUUGUGACAUGGAUUUUUAUAUCCGCACCUGCAGAUAUUGGUGUGAUAUUUCAUGAUUAUGUCGACCCAAAGGACUGGUUCAUCCUUAUCAUAGCUAUCUAAUAUUGUCUCUAAUGAAUGUUGCAGCUCGAGUACAACACUAUUCAUCAGCAAUCUUUGAAAGUCUCUUUAGCAUUUUAGCUUUGCAGAGGUGUUGUAGCGAGGACCGUUCACCAUGCUGGUAUCGAGUGGUUGAUCAUGCAAGCAACCAAUCUCCCUCAUCCUGCGUGGCUCUCCCACAAACCGCAAACCAUUCAUGUGCUGCUCACAAGGAGAUCAUGCCUACCUCUCGUCCCAUGGUGGCAGGUGGGAGUUGACAUAGAUCACUUUCCAAGAUUUCUGAUGUUUCUGUGGAGUGAAUCAGCACCCAAACAUUUUGUCACCUCUCACCAGCUUGAUGAGUGGGAUUGAUCUAGUGGAUUUCCCAUCCCCCAAACUGGAUAAAGGAAAUCAUAUGUUGAAGACUGUUGAUUGGACUAGAUCAUGAAUGACAUGGAAAGCUUGGUCAUCUACGCAAGAGGAUUGAGUGUUGAUCGCACUAGAUUAUGGUAUUAAGUGAUGCAAACACCUGCAUGCGACAAGUGCCGGAUUUGUUGCAAGGAAUAACAUCACGGAAACAAUUAUUGUGAUGACUACCCAACACCUAAACAGCACACUACUCAUGGCAAAGACUUUUGCGGCUUGGGAUGACGGCCGACCACCUUCAUGUUUAAACUCCUGCUGUGGAAGGAGAUUCUAUCACACAGAUUAUUUAUGUCGAAGAAAAUGGUAUCCAUGUGCCUACCACAUGAUAUUUCUGAGUAUGGUUUACCAUGGAUCAUUGUCGUCGGCAUCAACUUUUGGGACCGCCAUGACCGUCUCCAGAGAUGGACCGUUUGUUUCCCUGUGGAUGUUCGGGCUCAAGAUUAGCUUGUGUCGGUGAGAUUACUGUUUGAGCCCCAGGAAAGUUUCAAGAUUUCCCAACUCCGAGUCGGCUCGACUCCUGCCGUGCCGGACUCGGUUCAGAGUGGCGUCGACGUCGUCGUACCACGACGACCAGGACAUCAAGUGGUCCGUGUUGCCAAGUUGAAGUAGAGUACCACCUGCUUGUCAAAAUGCCACAUUGGAACCAUAUGCUACGAGUCCUAUUCACCACUGCAUUAUGGAGCGAACCCGUCCAUGGUGGACGGCCGUCGUGUUGUAAGAGAAACGUUGGAAGAGUCCAACGUGACUGUUCCCUCUCUCUGGAGCCAAUGGAGACUGUACUCUCCACUUCUUCAAGGAUUAGGCAGAGGAGUGAGAUUCGACUCUCCGGGCGCCGAGAAGCUGUGUUCUCUUUGCUAGCUGUGGGAGAGGACUGCAACCAGCAGUCGCACAAGUAAAUAACAGGGUGCAUCUAAUUGAGGUUC